UUCUUCCUCUCCCACUCCCCCUGCUUGUGUUCCCUCUCUCGCUGGCUGUCUCUAUCUCUGUCAAAUAAAUAAAUAAAAUCUUUAAAAAACAAACAAACAAACAAAAACAAAACCAGUUUAAUUUUAGGCUUAUAUUUCCAGUGGAAGUACCUCCUAGACAAAAGUUCCAAGGUGUGGGCUACCUAAUUUUUUUUUCUUUAAGUUGAUGUAAAAAUUUAAUAUUUUUAAAUGUAAAGUUAAAUGUAAAGAGUUCAGUAGAUUUUCGUGCACCUAUGUGAUCCACACCCCAAUGGAGAGAACAUUUCUACCAUCCCAGAAAACUCCUUUUGGGGGCACUUAAAAUUUGAUUAAGAAAUAGGGUUGUGGAGCCAGGCCUCAAAUUAGAAAGGAGUUGUUUUCCCUCUUCUCUCCUUACUACUUUAUUUUUGCUUCCUAAACAUGCGGUAAUGGUUACUUUAAACACAAAGCAAAUUGUUGCCAGAAGAAUCCGUUGCCUUUCAACUAGUUAUGAUUUAGUGGUUACUAAUAUUGUACAUCCCUGCCCCAUUUGCUAUGGCUUUUAGUCUUUUAGAGUGAGUAGUAAAAUUUGAGUCAUGUCACUGACUCACAAGCUUCCUGAGGAUCGCCUGGUAUUUGUUAUUAGGCUGGGAGUUCAGAAUCUUGAUCAAUUGAGAGAUCGUAAUCAUGCCAAAUUGACAUAAGGCCCCCCCCUUUUCAGUUACCCUGAUUACGCCACUAUGGUCGAUUUUGCAGAUACAAGAGUGUUAAACCUGUAUGUAUAGCCGAGUCCUAGCCUUGAGCACUUCCUCCCGUCUCAAAAUUCUCAACUCCCAGUUGCCAAAGAACAAUUAGAAUAUUCACCUAAGAUACAGCACAAUCAGUUGUGAAACUCAUUGAACCCGAGAGCUGUGCGUCCCUGUCUUUAAAGAUUCUUGAAUGCGGGGAUGGGAAGAUAUGUCCUGAGGAGACUGUUACUAGUUUGGGAUCUGAGGGAGAGGGAAAGGAAAAAAAUUCACUAGUGAUUGAAAAGGGGAUUUACUCCCUGUGUUCCUUAUAGAUUUUGUGUUCUGAUUUGGAACCUGGUCUGGAACCGGAUCUGGAACUAACUCUUUUUCUGACAAGGACCAUAUGUACUGAUUCAUGGAACCUCUGUUGCCAGAGCAAUGGUGAUGGUGAUGGGGAGGAUGGCGAUGGGCAGUAAGACCUCAUAUUUGAAUACCAGUUGGACUUUUCCCCUGACACUCCAACUUAGAGAGGAUGGCAGCUCGGUGGAGAUGGAAGGAAGGUCAGCGGAGACUCAUCAAUAACCCAUUUCGGAUUGGAGAAGCCCCACCCCAAAUACGCAUUCAUUUCACUAGUGGGUUCAUUCCUCAUUUCAAAAACAGUUUCACGCAUGGCACGUUGAAGACGGCACUUCACUGUGGGCAUGGUGAAGAGGAUUUUCAUUUAUUCCAGGCUCUGUCCUCUUACCGACGAGCUAUCCCAGGAGCACCGGACAGCCUUAGACCCCCUGCUCUGCGGCGCUGCUUCUGGAAAGUUCUGACCCGCUGCUGCAGGCACUUCCUGUAGGUUUUCUGAGUAUUGGCACUUGUGGGCAUCCCCCCCUGGCUCCUCAUCACAGACCCGCGCCCAGGAGAGUACUGUGGACACAACGGCCGUAGGGGGCAGCUGCCCGGGCUUGAAGGCUGGGUUACAGAGGCUGUGCCCAUGUGAGACUCCGAUUUGUGUGGGCUUGAUUCUUUUCUGGCCUGAGUUUGGCCACCAAGCUCAAGGUUAGCCAUUAGGAUUUCAAAUCAAGAACGCAAACAAUGGGUCUGAACCCUUUUCCUGCUUUGAUAGGCACCAAGAGACACAUCCCUAAAGCACAUGGCCCCGUGGGCGUUGCUGGGUGCUGUGUCAGGUGCACUCCCUUCUCCUCUGGGACAAACCGUAUUAGACCGUAGGACGGCAGGAGGGGCACGCGCAAGGGGAAGGAGGUCUGCACGUAAGCCCUUCGACCAUGCACACCCCGCGGCUCCUCAUGGCCCCCUGCUGCAGACGGGGGUCACCCUAUCCCUGGAGAGCUGCACUGUUCAAACCCCCAUUCUUCUGUCCAGUGUCAUUCUCAGGUUUUUGCACAUUACUGGGCGGCACACCCUCUCCUCCAAACUCUGCCCUUGAACCGCCUCCUGUGCUCUAGAUGGAGAUGUCUCAAAUUAUUAGGAGGUUUUUAAUGCUUCGGUCAUUUCUGAUCCCAGGCUCCCAGGUCCUUUCUCUCUUCCUUCCCCUUCCCCUUCCUCCCACUGUCCCCUCUCCUCCCUUCCCCUCCCUCCUUUUCCUCCUCCACCCCCCAUUCCCCCCACCAAGCUCCUUCUCUGGGGAUUCCCAAAGGAAUAAGGGGACCAAGGCUGGAGCUGCCUCUUUCUGCUCUCCCUGAAGGAAAAACAGUGUUUUCCUUUUCUUCUUCCCUCUAUCAUCAUUUUCCAGCUGAGGUUGCAGAGAAAGGCACGCGAUGAGGAAGAGAGGG